CAGUAGCCGCGGUAAUACGAAGGGGGCUAGCGUUGCUCGGAAUGACUGGGCGUAAAGGGCGCGUAGGCGGUUCGUACAGUUGGAUGUGAAAUUCCUGGGCUUAACCUGGGGGCUGCAUUCAAUACGUGCGGGCUAGAAUGUGGAAGAGGGUUGUGGAAUUCCCAGUGUAGAGGUGAAAUUCGUAGAUAUUGGGAAGAACACCGGUGGCGAAGGCGGCAACCUGGUCCAUAAUUGACGCUGAGGCGCGAAAGCGUGGGGAGCAAACAGGAUUAGAUACCCCCGUAGUCCCUGUCUCUUAUAC
rnacentral:rRNA from 1 species